UACGUAGGGGGCAAGCGUUGUCCGGAUUUAUUGGGCGUAAAGAGCGUGUAGGCGGUUUGGUAGGUCCGCUGUGAAAACUGGAGGCUCAACCUCCAGCUGUCGACGGAAACCGUGUGGCUAGAGUCCGGAAGAGGAGAGUGGAAUUCCUGGUGUAGCGGUGAAAUGCGCAGAUAUCAGGAAGAACACCAAUGGCGAAGGCAGCUCUCUGGGACGGUACUGACGCUGAGACGCGAAAGCGUGGGGAGCGAACAGG
rnacentral:rRNA from 1 species